AUCCCCCGGUAGGGUGGCAAACGGGUGAGUAAUACAUGGGUGAUCUACCUUAGGGAUGGGGAUAUCCUUCCGAAAGGAGGGGCAAUACCGAAUAUUGUCCGGAGCCGUGAAGGGUUCCGGGGAAAGGGAGGCCUCUGAUACAAGCUUUCGCCUUAAGAUGAGCCCAUGGCCCAUCAGCUAGUUGGUAGGGUAAAGGCCUACCAAGGCUACGACGGGUCGCUGGUCUGAGAGGACGACCAGCCACACUGGCACUGAGAUACGGGCCAGACUCCUACGGGAGGCAGCAGUGAGGAAUAUUGCGCAAUGGGGGAAACCCUGACGCAGCAACGCCGCGUGUGGGAAGAAGGCCUUCGGGUCGUAAACCACUUUUGCACGGGACGAAAAGGGAUAUCGAACAAUAUCCCCGAUGACGGUACCGUGAGAAUAAGCCACGGCUAACUCUGUGCCAGC
rnacentral:rRNA from 1 species